AUGAACGCUAGCUACAGGCUUAACACAUGCAAGUCGAGGGGAAACGACAUCGAAAGCUUGCUUUUGAUGGGCGUCGACCGGCGCACGGGUGAGUAACGCGUAUCCAACCUGCCCAUCACUUGGGAAUAACCUUGCGAAAGUAAGACUAAUACCCAAUGACAUCCCACGAAGGCAUCCGAAUGGGAUUAAAGAUUUAUCGGUGAUGGAUGGGGAUGCGUCUGAUUAGCUUGUUGGCGGGGUAACGGCCCACCAAGGCAACGAUCAGUAGGGGUUCUGAGAGGAAGGUCCCCCACAUUGGAACUGAGACACGGUCCAAACUCCUACGGGAGGCAGCAGUGAGGAAUAUUGGUCAAUGGGCGAGAGCCUGAACCAGCCAAGUAGCGUGCAGGAAGACGGCCCUAUGGGUUGUAAACUGCUUUUAUAAGGGAAUAAAGUGAGUCUCGUGAGACUUUUUGCAUGUACCUUAUGGAUAAGGACCGGCUAAUUCCGUGCCAGCAGCCGCGGUAAUACGGAAGGUCCGGGCGUUAUCCGGAUUUAUUGGGUUUAAAGGGAGCGUAGGCCGGAGAUUAAGCGUGUUGUGAAAUGUAGUGGCUCAACCUCUGCACUGCAGCGCGAACUGGUCUUCUUGAGUACGCACAACGUGGGCGGAAUUCGUGGUGUAGCGGUGAAAUGCUUAGAUAUUACGAAGAACUCCGAUUGCGAAGGCAGCUCACGGGAGCGCAACUGACGCUGAAGCUCGAAAGUGCGGGUAUCGAACAGGAUUAGAUACCCUGGUAGUCCGCACGGUAAACGAUGGAUGCCCGCUGUUGGCCUGAAUAGGUCAGCGGCCAAGCGAAAGCAUUAAGCAUCCCACCUGGAGAGUACGCCGGCAACGGUGCAACUCAAAUGAAUUGACGG
rnacentral:rRNA from 2 species